rnacentral:lncRNA from 1 species
AGAGGCCAUGUGACAUGAAGGAGUGUCAGAGAAAAAAAAGACCAAUGUGUCCUGGCAAACACAGCUCUGGAAACCCUAUGGCUGCUCGCUUGCAUUCCAAUCUUCCCUAGAAACAAUCCAAAAGCAGAAGGAAGAGAAAAGUCAAUGGCUAAUGUGGUUUAAAGUGAGGCUUUUCUAGUCAAGUUCUUCAACACCACAUAUUCUCCCAAGGUCUAGACUGCCAUGCUUCAUUUGUCUGCUCAGGUCUUGGCCAUCAGGAAUACAGAAGCAAUUAAGUCCAUUAGGAAGGCCUGAGGCAGCUGCAAGAAAAGAUUGGGUGAGCGGAGGGACCCAGCCAACAUCCCACCUGCUCAACGCAUCACCUGAAGUGAAUAGGAAUUUAAGAAACUUCCUUGUCCCAGGCUGCUACCACUGAGGUCAUGAAGCAAGUCAGAAUCUCACAUUUCAAGAAUGCAAUCUAGGCACAGGAAGAAGUUGAGACAGGGAGUGCCAUCUCUGUCCUACUGGAGAUGUGUAAUGAGGGUAAGGAAGCUAAUGCUGGGAUGAAAGUGACCAAGAUUAUCAACACAAACAGAGUCGAAGCAACUCAGCCAUUCUCAGAAUGAACAACAAGCCCAGCGGUUCCCUUGACCACCAGCGGAGGCUUCACUCCCACCACACACUAAGGAAAUCCACUGUUCACCAGCCUCUGCUGAACGAUGGCAUGUGUGGAUCCCAGCUUCUACAGACAUCCUGGAAGGCGAGACAGGAAGUGAACGCAGCUGACGUUUCCUUCCCUUUCUUGUGGAUUCAAAAGCUGAAAGCCCUGAGAUGGUGACCUUCUGAAGAUUAUUAAUGAGAACGCCACCCAGAGUUAGGAUUCUCUUAUAGUGAAAUCUAACAUCACAAGGUCACUGCCCGGCGAUGAGUCCCUUGAAACUGGUACUUGUCGGUUAUUCAGGAGAGCUUGGCUGUGUGGGAGCCAGAAGGAGCUAGAAUGAGGACAGGCUUGGGACUCAUCUCACACCCUAAGCGUGGCCAAGUUUGCAGAGCAAUAUCCUGGAACUAUAUGAGUAAAGUGCCGUAAAUCC